CAAUAGCGUAUAUUUAAGUUGUUGCAGUUAAAAAGCUCGUAGUUGGAUUUCGGUUGAGAGCGGCCGGUCCGCCCUCUGGGUGUGUAUCUGGCUCUUUCUUGGCAUCUUCUUGGUGAACGUUGCUGCACUUGACUGUGUGGAGCGCUACCCAGGACUUUUACUUUGAGGAAAUUAGAGUGUUUCAAGCAGGCAUACGCCUUGAAUACAUUAGCAUGGAAUAAUAAGAUAGGACCUCGGUUCUAUUUUGUUGGUUUCUAGAGCUGAGGUAAUGAUUAAUAGGGAUAGUUGGGGGCAUUCGUAUUUAACUGUCAGAGGUGAAAUUCUUGGAUUUGCUAAAGACGGACUACUGCGAAAGCAUUUGCCAAGGAUGUUUNCAUUGA
rnacentral:rRNA from 1 species